rnacentral:rRNA from 1 species
UACAGAGGUCUCAAGCGUUGUUCGGAUUCAUUGGGCGUAAAGGGUGCGUAGGCGGCGUGGUAAGUCGGGUGUGAAAUCUCGGGAGCUUAACUCCGAAACUGCAUUCGAUACUGCCGUGCUUGAGGACUGGAGAGGAGACUGGAAUUUACGGUGUAGCGGUGAAAUGCGUAGAUAUCGUAAGGAACACCAGUGGCAAAGGCGACUACCUGGCCUGUUCUUGACGCUGAGGCGCGAAAGCUAGGGGAGCAAACGGG